ncrna:unclassified sequences FuFi-1 RNA
GCGUGAUGCGUUAGGGCAAGAGGCAGCGCCAGAACUGCCAAAGUGAGCGGCGCGUCCAUAGAAGCGCAAGUUCGUUUUGUGUCAGGAUGGCAUUGCCAAGCCGGUGGAAAGAACUCUACCAAUUCGGACGGAUGCGAAGUAAUGCAGACGGCCAUCCUGUGCAGCGCGUUCUGGUAAACAACUCUGGGGAAACCCGCUCGUGAACGAACCACGGGCGGCUUUUC